CCCGGUAAACGGCGGCCGUAACUAUAACGGUCCUAAGGUAGCGAAAUUCCUUGUCGGGUAAGUUCCGACCUGCACGAAAGGCGCAACGACUUGGGCGCUGUCUCGACCAUGGACCCGGUGAAAUUGCACUGGUCGUGAAGAUGCGACUUACCCGCGGAAGGACGGAAAGACCCCGUGAACCUUCACUGCAGCUUGGCAUUGGCCGCUGGUCCCGCGUGUAGAGGAUAGGCAGGAGGCAUCGAUCCGGAGGCGCCAGCCCCCGGGGAGCCGCCCUUGGAAUACUGCCCUCGCGCGACCGGCGUCCUAACCCGAGGCCGUCAACCGGCUCGGGGACCGUGCCAGGCGGGCAGUUUGACUGGGGCGGUCGCCUCCUAAAGGGUAACGGAGGCGCGCGAAGGUCCGCUCGGGACGGUCGGCAACCGUCCUUUUGAAUGCAAGAGUACAAGCGGGCUUGACUGCGAGGCCCACAAGCCGAGCAGGUGCGAAAGCAGGCUCUAGUGAUCCGGCGGCCCCGAGUGGGUGGGCCGUCGCUCAACGGAUAAAAGGUACUCCGGGGAUAACAGGCUGAUCUUGCCCAAGAGUCCACAUCGACGGCAAGGUUUGGCACCUCGAUGUCGGCUCAUCGCAUCCUGGGGCUGGAGCAGGUCCCAAGGGUACGGCUGUUCGCCGUUUAAAGCGGUACGCGAGCUGGGUUCAGAACGUCGUGAGACAGUUCGGUCCCUAUCCUCCGUGGGCGCAGGAGAAUCGAUGGAGGCUGCCCCCAGUACGAGAGGACCGGGGUGGACGCACCUCCGGUGAACCGGUUGUCGACCAACGGCACGGCCGGGUAGCCGCGUGCGGCGCGGAUAACCGCUGAAGGCAUCUAAGCGGGAAGCCGUUCCAGGGAUUAGUUCUCCUUCCGGUAAGGGCCCAGGUAGACUACCUGGUCGAUAGACGGCAGGUGCAAGGGCGGCGACGUCCUCAGCCGAGCCGCACUAAUCGCCCGAGCUCUUCCGGAA
rnacentral:rRNA from 1 species